rnacentral:rRNA from 1 species
AUGCUCCCGAAGACAAUUGAGAAUCUUUCAAAUCUGUUGACACUCGACCUUUAUGAAUCUGACAUACAAGAGUUGCCUAGUGGGAUUGUGAAACUGAAGAAGCUUAGGCACCUAUUUGCUCAGAAAACAAUUGAUUCAGACUGGAGAGAGCUUGCAAGUUGCAGUGGUGUGCGUAUCCCCAAUGGACUUGGAAAUAUAAUAAACCUUCAGACGCUACAAGCAUUGGAAUUACAGGAUGAGUCUGUUAGACAUUUAGGGGAGCUGAGGCAAGUGAGAAGCUUGAGGUUAUUGAAUGUGAAAGGAAUCUACUGUAGAAGUAUCAGUGAGUCUCUAGUUAAGAUGCAGUAUUUGUCCUACCUAGAAGUGAAUGCAAGUAAUGAGAAUGAGGUUCUCUUGUUGAAUGUCCUUCUGCCAAGCCUGCAAAGGCUAUGUUUGAGAGGACGACUAGCAGAAGGGGCGUUGGACGAGUCUCCUCUAUUCCAAGCUGUAGAGGGACAGAACUUGUAUGUAUUGUAUCUAUCUUGGUCACAGCUGAGAGAAGACCCCCUACCAUCCCUUUCUCGGUUGUCAAACUUGACGUAUCUACACUUCACCAGAGCAUACAAUGGAGAGCAGCUGGCAUUUCUCACGGGGUGGUUUCCCAAGCUGAAGGUUCUCUCUCUAGGAGACUUGCUUAGUCUGAGUCGGCUAGAGAUACAGCAAGGUGCCAUGGCGAGCCUGGAGGAACUAUACUUAGUCAACCUCGGCAGCAUGACGGAGGUGCCGGCUGGCAUUGAGUUCCUCACAUCCAUCAAGUAUCUAGGCUUUCACGAGAUCAGCAGAGACUUCUUGACAUCCCUGCGCCAGUGUUCUACAAUCCAAGGGAUACUGUCACGGGCGAAGUAUUCCCUCCGAGAUUGA